GAUUCUGGCUCAGGACGAACGCUGGCGGCGUGCCUAACACAUGCAAGUCGAGCGGGGACAUGCGACGGAUCGGAAGUUUCGGAUGGAAGUGAAGAUGUAUGUUCUAGCGGCGGACGGGUGAGUAACGCGUGAGCAACCUGUCCUUCACAGGGGGAUAACACAGCGAAAGUUGUACUAAUACCGCAUAAGACCACACCGGGGCAUCCCGGAGGGGUCAAAGGAGCAAUCCGGUGAAGGGUGGGCUCGCGUCCGAUUAGAUAGUUGGUGGGGUAACGGCCUACCAAGUCGACGAUCGGUAGCCGACCUGAGAGGGUGAUCGGCCACAUUGGGACUGAGACACGGCCCAAACUCCUACGGGAGGCAGCAGUGGGGAAUAUUGGGCAAUGGGGGAAACCCUGACCCAGCAACGCCGCGUGAGGGAAGAAGGUUUUCGGAUCGUAAACCUCUGUCCCAGGUGAAGAGGAAGAGACGGUAGCCUGGGAGGAAGCCCCGGCUAACUACGUGCCAGCCGCGGC
rnacentral:rRNA from 1 species